rnacentral:lncRNA from 1 species
GGCAAAGGAGAAACUGAGGAGUGAAGAGAAUGGGGCUUGUUGAAAGCUUGAGGUUUCAGGAUGGUGGUGACAGUAUCAGAAAGACCACAGCGGGCCUUGGAGGGGGGCCCGCGUUUCUGCAGCCGGAAGGCUGGAGAUCCUGAUGAACCUCUAGGAAAAAAAGAAGCUGCUUCUGUCAGACACAGAUCCUGAGGUUGUGUCAGAUGUAAGAGAGGACUCGUUUCCUGGUUCCACCUAGAACACCGGCUCUGUCUGCACACGGUGUCCCUUGCCCAAGGCUGGAGAAGCAGCGAGGAGCCUUCACAGAUAUGGGAGUGAUAUAUCCCUGGCCAUUGUCAGAUCCCUUGGACAUCCUCCUCCUGUGCACAUGAGUGGAUCUGGGGAUAGUCUGUGAGCAUCUUUCUUCCUGUUUUUAUAAAGUGUUCUCUGUUUUCUACUGAAUCUUCAAACACAGCUUGGGUCUUAUCAUUGGCUGUAUCAAGGAUAGUGUUUUCCUGCUUCUGAAGAGCUUAAAAAACAGGGGUGCCUGGGUGGUUCACUCGGUUAAGUGUCUGCCUUCGGCUCAGGUCAUGGUCCCAGAGUCCUGGAAUCGAGUCCCACAUCAGGCUCCUUGCUCAGCUGGAAGCCUGCUUCUCCCUCUUCCACUGCCCCUGCUUGUGUUCCUCUCUUGCUGUGUCUCUGUCAAAUAAAUAAAUUCUUA